AUUGAACGCUGGCGGCAGGCCUAACACAUGCAAGUCGAACGAGUGGCGGACGGGUGAGUAAUGUCUGGGAAACUGCCUGAUGGAGGGGGAUAACUACUGGAAACGGUAGCUAAUACCGCAUACCCACGGAUGUGCCCAGAUGGGAUUAGCUAGUAGGUGGGGUAACGGCUCACCUAGGCGCCGAUCCCUCGCUGGUCUGAGAGGAUGACAAGGCACACUGAAACUUAGACACAGUCCUGACUCCUACGGGAGGCAGAAGUGGAGAAUAUUGCGCAGUGGGCGCAGGCCGGAUGCAGCCAUACCACGUGUAUGAAGAAGGCCUUCGGGUUGUAGAGUACUUUCAACGGGGAGGCGUUACCCGCAGAAGAAGCACCGGCUAACUCCGUGCCAGCCGCCGCGGUAGUAC
rnacentral:rRNA from 1 species